UAGGUUGUGGCUCAGUGGUAGAGUGUUCACCUAGCAGGUGUGGGGCCCUGGGUUUGAUACUCAGCACCUUAU
rnacentral:tRNA from 1 species